GACGGAGGAUGCAAGUGUUAUCCGGAAUCACUGGGCGUAAAGCGUCUGUAGGUGGUUCGAAAAGUCCACUGUUAAAAUUGAGGCUUAACUUCAAAGAUGCCGUGGAAACUUUCAAACUAGAGUAUGGUAGGGGUAGAGGGAAUUUCCAGUGGAGCGGUGAAAUGCGUAGAGAUCGGAAAGAACACCAACGGCGAAAGCACUCUGCUGGGCCGACACUGACACUGAGAGACGAAAGCUAGGGGAGCGAAUGGG
rnacentral:rRNA from 1 species